rnacentral:rRNA from 1 species
UACGUAGGGUGCAAGCGUUGUCCGGAAUUAUUGGGCGUAAAGAGCGUGUAGGCGGCCAGACAGGUCAGCUGUGAAAACUCGAGGCUCAACCUCGAGACGUCGGUUGAAACCGUCUGGCUAGAGUCCGGAAGAGGAGAGUGGAAUUCCCGGUGUAGCGGUGAAAUGCGCAGAUAUCGGGAAGAACACCCGUGGCGAAGGCGGCUCUCUGGGACGGUACUGACGCUGAGACGCGAAAGCGAGGGGAGCGAACAGG